UGUGAGCGCCUGUUUUCAGUUGCUGGAAACAUAGCAAAUGAUGAGCGGAACCGCUUGGAUCCCGGUAGACUUGACAGAUUGUUGUUUUUAAAAAGUGAAAAAAACAUUUUGGAAAAAUAUCGAAUUUUUGAGGAUUGAUUCAUCAGGUCACAUCCCUAAAAUAAACGACAGCUGAUGCGCAAUGAAACGUCGCAAGAAACCGAACACUCUGUCCCACUCGCUCCAGUUACUACAUAUACUCCGCACUCUUGCAUCUUUUGCUCACUCCAAUGCGUCUGGCAGGAUAAUAGAACCUUCAAAACUGUCUGGCUACUUCAGAAACUUUGUUUGAAUAAUUCCCCAAAAAAUAUGUAUUAAAUUCAGAUUUUACAAAAUGACGUUGAAAAAAGUAUACCUUUAUUACCUGCUACCUGCCAAAGCAACCACUGCCUGAGUACCAUAGGUGGGGAUCGUUCCUACCUGUACUAGAGGCAUAUUUACAGAAACUUUCAGCUUUUACAAAA